AUCCAGCUGACGAGUCCCAAAUAGGACGAAGGAGUGGGCGUCCUGGAU
rnacentral:hammerhead_ribozyme from 1 species